rnacentral:rRNA from 1 species
AGUGAACGCUGGCGGUAGGCCUAACACAUGCAAGUCGAACGGCAGCACAGUAAGAGCUUGCUCUUACGGGUGGCGAGUGGCGGACGGGUGAGGAAUACAUCGGAAUCUACUUUUUCGUGGGGGAUAACGUAGUGAAACUUACGCUAAUACCGCAUACGACCUACGGGUGAAAGCAGGGGAUCUUCGGACCUUGCGCGAUUGAAUGAGCCGAUGUCGGAUUAGCUAGUUGGCGGGGUAAAGGCCCACCAAGACGACGAUCCGUAGCUGGUCUGAGAGGAUGAUCAGCCACACUGGAACUGAGACACGGUCCAGACUCCUACGGGAGGCAGCAGUGGGGAAUAUUGGACAAUGGGCGCAAGCCUGAUCCAGCCAUACCGCGUGGGUGAAGAAGGCCUUCGGGUUGUAAAGCCCUUUUGUUGGGAAAGAAAAGCAGCAGGUUAAUACCCCGCUGUUCUGACGGUACCCAAAGAAUAAGCACCGGCUAACUUCGUG